GGAAGUAAAAAGUCGUAACAAGGUUUCCGUAGGUGAACCUGCGGAAGGAUCAUUAUUGAAUGAAACACUUCUGGCUUUAUGCUGUUGUGCUGGCCCUUUGGGCAAUGUGCACACGGCUCUGGUCACUUGUUUCUUCUGUUCCACCUGUGCACUGCCUGUAGACACGCUGUGUCUAUGAUAUUUGUUAACACACAACAAUGUUAGUUGGCAUGUUAUAUAUAAUAAUAAAAUAUACAACUUUCAACAACGGAUCUCUUGGCUCUC
rnacentral:misc_RNA from 1 species